AUUGAACGCUGGCGGCAGGCCUAACACAUGCAAGUCGAACGAGUGGCGGACGGGUGAGUAAUGUCUGGGAAACUGCCUGAUGGAGGGGGAUAACUACUGGAAACGGUAGCUAAUACCGCAUACCAUAGGAUGUUCCCAGAUGGGAUGAGCUUGUAGGUGGGGUAACGGCUCACCUAGGCGACGAGCCCUAGCUGGUCUGAGAGGAUGACCAGUCACAUUGGAACGUAGACACGUGCCAUAGCCCUACGGGAGGUAGCAGUGGGGAAUAGUGCACAAUGGGCGCAAGCCUGAUGAAGAAAGGCCGCGUGUAUGAAGAAGGCUUUCGGGUUGUAAAGUACGUGCAGCGGGGAGGCGUUACCAGCAGAAGAAGCACCGGCUAACUCCGUGCCAGCCGCCGCGGUAAUUC
rnacentral:rRNA from 1 species